UACGUAGGGGGCUAGCGUUGUCCGGAAUCAUUGGGCGUAAAGAGCGUGUAGGCGGCCCGGUAAGUCCGCUGUGAAAGUCGGGGGCUCAACCCUCGAAUGCCGGUGGAUACUGUCGGGCUAGAGUGCGGAAGAGGCGAGUGGAAUUCCUGGUGUAGCGGUGAAAUGCGCAGAUAUCAGGAGGAACACCGGUGGCGAAGGCGGGACUCUGGGCCGAUACUGACGCUGAGGAGCGAAAGCGUGGGGAGCGAACAGG
rnacentral:rRNA from 1 species